UACGAAGGGGGCUAGCGUUGCUCGGAAUUACUGGGCGUAAAGGGCGCGUAGGCGGACAGUUUAGUCAGAGGUGAAAGCCCAGGGCUCAACCUUGGAAUUGCCUUUGAUACUGCAAGUCUCGAGUCCGAUAGAGGUGAGUGGAAUUCCUAGUGUAGAGGUGAAAUUCGUAGAUAUUAGGAAGAACACCAGUGGCGAAGGCGGCUCACUGGAUCGGUACUGACGCUGAGGUGCGAAAGCGUGGGGAGCAAAGCAGGG
rnacentral:rRNA from 1 species